CUACAACCUUUUCUAAAAUUUUGGAUAUAAAGGGGAGAUUUGAUAUCAGUCUGUAUGUAGUGAGGUCCUUUAUGGGGCCUUUUAUCUUAAAAUGUACCUUAUUUUUUAAAAGCAUAAAACAGCGUAGCCCCUUUAAGAGGUAGGCCCCAGUGAGUGCAUUGCCCCUUUAAGAGGAAGUGUCCUGAUUAGCGUGAGCGAAUGAACAAACGCUUCGGAUUCCAUACUCUUAUAAAGUGUCUGAGCAGCUGUGAGGAAUGGUUGCUGCUUGAUUGUCUGUUUGUUUCAUCGUCAGAUUUCUUCUCUAAUAAGGUGAGCAAUCGAUGUUUUCUUUUGUGUUCAGGUAGAAAGAAGUAUUGUUUUAUGGGGUUUUUCUCUUCCAUAGGCUGCGUUUAUCCUUCAUGUGCAAGUGUUGUGCAUUUAAUAAGAGGUGAUCAGAUUUGCUCUUUGGCGGCUGGACUGUGGAUGUGCUGUUUGUUUGCCAUUUGAGUGUGGUAUUGUUGUGCAGGCCUGGUUAAACGGAGGGGAACUGCAUUUGGUCACUGCUGUCCUUCUUUACCCUUUAUUUUUGGGUUUUGUGAUUUAAUGUUUGUUUGGUUUUCUUUAUUUAAGGCACCCAUCACGUUGUAUGGAUGCUGUGUUUAGCUGAUUGUUAAAAAGACUAUAGGGGGAUUGUUUGCAGAUAUUUUACUGUAUGAUAACCAACUGAUUUUGUGUAUCUGUUCCUUUCCAGUGGAUCAUCUGGGAGCACUGGUUGGAUUGUGGGUGUUGGUCCUUUGAUGGUGGAAUCUGUGCUACGGUUUACACUGCAUGCUGUGUGAAUUUUAUGAAUUUACGGUGUGUGGCACUUUGCGUGUGUGUGUGUGGGUGUGCGUGUGUGUGUUGAUGUGUUUUUCUUUACAGGCACCAUUUUGGGUGAACCUUUUGGGGUUAAAGUGGGCCUGCACCCGUGGCCUGUCAGUCUUCCUUUGUAUCCACUGGAAUGUUUGGUGUUAAUUGGUAAUUGUAACAGUUGGUAUCCUUUUAAUAUGAUUCAUGUUGCAGUUUUAAAUAAAAUAAGGUACCAAUAAUAAAGGUUUAUAUUUUAACUGA